UACGGAGGAUCCAAGCGUUAUCCGGAUUCACUGGGUUUAAAGGGUUCGUAGGCGGUGUGGCAAGUCGGGAGUGAAAUCUCUGGGCUUAACUCAGAGGCUGCUUCCGAAACUGCCGUGCUAGAGUGCGGGAGAGGCGAGUGGAAUUGCAGGUGUAGCGGUGAAAUGCGUAGAUAUCUGCAGGAACACCCGUGGCGAAGGCGGCUCGCUGGACCGCAACUGACGCUGAGGAACGAAAGCUAGGGGAGCAAACGGG
rnacentral:rRNA from 1 species